GAUGAACGCUGGCGGCGUGCCUAAUACAUGCAAGUCGAGCGAACGGACGAGAAGCUUGCUUCUCUGAUGUUAGCGGCGGACGGGUGAGUAACACGUGGAUAACCUACCUAUAAGACUGGGAUAACUUCGGGAAACCGGAGCUAAUACCGGAUAAUAUUUUGAACCGCAUGGUUCAAAAGUGAAAGACGGUCUUGCUGUCACUUAUAGAUGGAUCCGCGCUGCAUUAGCUAGUUGGUAAGGUAACGGCUUACCAAGGCAACGAUGCAUAGCCGACCUGAGAGGGUGAUCGGCCACACUGGAACUGAGACACGGUCCAGACUCCUACGGGAGGCAGCAGUAGGGAAUAUUCGGCAAUGGGCGAAAGCCUGACGGAGCAACGCCGCGUGAGUGAUGAAGGUCUUCGGAUCGUAAAACUCUGUUAUUAGGGAAGAACAGAUGUGUAAGUAACUGUGCACAUCUUGACGGUACCUAAUCAGAAAGCCACGGCUAACUACGUG
rnacentral:rRNA from 1 species